rnacentral:rRNA from 1 species
GAUUGCUAAUACCGCAUGUGGUCUGUGAGGUUAGAGUCUUGCANACUAAAGCAGUAAUGUGCUUCGGGAGGGGCCUGCGCCCCAUCAGCUAGUUGGUAGGGUAAUGGCCUACCAAGGCAACAACGGGUAGGGGGCCUGAGAGGGUGACCCCCCACAUUGGCACUGACACACGGGCCAAACUCCUACAGGAGGCANCAGUGAGGAAUAUUGCUCNAUGGGCGAAAGCCUGAAGCAACAACGCCNCGUGCGCNAU